UAGGCAGCAAGGUAGGUGGUACCUUACUGAUAAAAAGACUCGGACUGGCAUUUUAAUUUUGGAUUGUUUUUUAUUUUAAGUUUAAAAGGCCAUUUUAAAAAAAUCAAAUAAUAAAAUGUCUUCAUCUCU
rnacentral:ribozyme from 14 species